rnacentral:rRNA from 1 species
UACGUAGGGGGCAAGCGUUAUCCGGAUUUACUGGGUGUAAAGGGAGCGUAGACGGUAGUGCAAGUCUGGAGUGAAAGGCGGGGGCCCAACCCCCGGACUGCUCUGGAAACUGUGCGACUAGAGUGCAGGAGAGGUAAGUGGAAUUCCUAGUGUAGCGGUGAAAUGCGUAGAUAUAUGGAAGAACACCAGUGGCGAAAGCGGCUCUCUGGUCUGUAACUGACGCUGAGGUUCGAAAGCGUGGGUAGCAAACAGG